UCCCACCCUAAGCCCGUGGUACUUGACGGCUCUCCAGAAACUUUGCCCUCCAAACUUCAGUAGUAGCGUCCUUGCCGACCUCGACCCGACGACCCCGAACUUGUUUGACAACCACUACUACUCCAACCUCCAGAAAAAUGACGGGCUUUUUCAGUCUGAUCAAGAGCUGUACUCGACAGCCGGUGCUGCGACAGUACCCAUCGUCAACAGCUUCAGUGCCGACCAGAGUGCCUUCUUCAAGAGCUUCACUCGGUCGAUAGUAAACAUGGGAAACAUCAGUCCUCUCACCGGAAGUAACGGGGAGAUCAGGUGCAAUUGUAGGAAGGUCAAUGAGAGUUGAGAGUGUUUUCUGGGGGGUUUUGGCCGAGUGCGUGUACGUGAAUAAAUAGCAGCGUGUGAAAUAAAAUUCAGGCAUUCUUGGAAAUGUCAAUUCUAUUGGGCAGAGAGCCGGAGAUUUGUAUUUCUACGUCGAGUGUGUAGUUUUAAGAGUUGAUCUGACUGAAGUAUUAUACAAGAUUGUUCAUCUCUGUUAAGAGAUCACAGAAAAUAAAUGAGAACUUUCUUAUAUUGAUCAUCCCUGAAGAGUUUGUUAGAAAUUCUAUAAACGUCGGCUAACAUGAAUCAUGUAGUAUUUUAGUUUGAAAAAACAUGUGGUUAUAUAAUAAAUAAAGGACAUGAGAUAAUACUCUAUAGCUUGAAUACAAUUUCGCUAAUCAAUUUAUAUUGGACUUAAGCACAUCUUGGUACGGUAAUAAAUUGGUGUUCGAAGGUCAGUGUAGGCUAGUAUUUUAAGGAUGAUUUGCGAUGAUAUUCUUCAAAGGCUAUAUGAAGAAGGAGAAUGAGCAAAAAACAUGUCCUCUUCCGUAUUGGUCAUGUAUACUUGACAUUUUCCAUACAUUUAUGUUGAUUGAUUAAGUGCUUAAUUUGAAUGUAACAGAACUUGUAUACAAAUAUUAGCAUUGUAUGCAGACUAUGCACACCACAUUAUGGGUGGAGUUUUACUUAAGACACGUAUCUAUUGGGAUUAAUUGAUUUGUAAAAUUCGGAUAAUCAAUAUGUUGAAACAUGUUCUGUAACUCAUAAUGCCCGUGUCCGGUUUGUGUUUCAAAGAUGCGAUACGAUUAACAAGAAUGUCAUGAUCUAAGUUUUACAGGAUUUAUUUAUGAAAUUAAACGAGCAUGAUGCAAAAACACGAAUUGACGGCUUAAUCUCUCUCUCUCGGCAGGUUUCGAAGCUUGGGGCCUGAAGCUCUGCUACAACAUUGAGCCUCGUCAUUCACAUACACAAACAACAUAUAUUGAAGAUCGUUUUGUAGGCUUCGCCAAGACGUGGGACUUUCUCUAUCUCUCGCUACACACACCUAACAGAUAUAGAAGCAUGUGUUAAGAUGCCCGUAUAAAGGCGUGUUUGUUUUGGCAUCUAUAAAGUCCUUUGGAGCCUCAAAGGUCUUUGGAUAAAUGCAUGUCCUUCGGCAAAAUUUUGGGGUGCUUCUGGGAGAUGCAAUUGCAUCUACAAAACUUUCUAAAAGCAUUUAGUCCAUGAUAGGUCCAGAGGAACUUUGGAAUGCUCAGCAACUGUCGAGCGACUAGUGUGCCACUGGCAAGCCUCUAUUGGCAGGUUUUGCCAUCAAAUACUUUGAUAUUUUCUAUAAAAAAACAGAAGCAAAAAUCCUUUACAAAGUAAAGUUUUACCAAAUGACAUUUGCAUUAAGGUCACUUUCCAAUAUGUUUUUAAAAUACACUUUAAUAAACACUAUUUGUAUUUCAAAAAACUCUUCAACUCAAAGACCUUUACAUCUUCUCAGAAAAUAUUUGCCUAAAGUUGAACCAAAUGCACCUAAAUUGUAUUAGAAAAUCGCACAUCAAAAAAUUAGUGCGAGAUGAAGAAAUAUUACUAUAUCAUAAUUGACCUAUAAUUUAUUAACUUAAUUUUUUUAGUAAAAAUAAAUUUAAUUGGACAUGUUGACGGACUCCCUUUUUGGUGAUCUCUGUCGAGUAAAGGCACCGGGCUCCUAACAGCACAUUGGGUAGGCUUCCAAGCUCCAACAAGUCUUCUCUCUCUUACAUAGAGGACAAUCGAAACAGAAUAUCUCCAUUCAAGGCAAAAAUUUGUCCAGCCCUGAUGGAAGUGCAGAACUGAAAAAUAAAAUUGCACACGUGUAACUAUUUGUACCUUGCGUGUUGCAAUUGAAUUUUUACCUAUUAUCGUCCCCGGUUCGAUUAGACAGCAAGCUUUGCAAAUACGCAUUCCUUUGGAUACUAAAUGAACAUUUCUAACAUUUUCCUUAGACCAUUAUGCUAAAGUUUUGCACAUUGCUCGCUUGUCUAUAAGUUGUUAGUAUGCCUUAUUUUCAUGUAGACUCCCUCCCAUCUAUAAGCUUUUGGAUAGGAUUUUCUGACCUAGUUUAACAGUCGAGUUCCACCCAGAUUUAUAUCAUGGGCGAGUCUUCUCGUUUGUCUACUCCACAUGCCAUUCUUAACGUAGACUUUCUAGCACAUAAUAGCAGGACCACCUACUCCCACGAUAUAUAUAUUCAGUUUGAACGGUACUCUUUCGAAGUUACGUAUAUCCUCAUCAACAUCCCCAGAACAAGAUAGAUCGUGCUCUUCUCUCCUCUGCGGGAUUAUCCGGACUUGAUUCAUCUGAUGUAGCUUGAUAAUGGAAGUUGAAUCUCUUUCAAAGGAGAUAUCAUCUAACGCACCCAAAAACUACCCGACCAUCUAUCAAAUAUCUUGACUGUUGAUUUUCGUGUGGACCCUUUCCUUCUCAAGUUCGCGUGCUUUUUGCUUCUAAUUAUAUCUGACCAAAAUUGAACACUUCAACGCUAGAGGUCGUUGGGUGGAGGAUGAGCAUUACCCUCAACCCUUGAUUAUUUCGAUCCUCACUUCUCACGAAAUCCUCGUCGGAGUCGCUCCCCAAACUUGUAAAUGCGCUCGGUCCUUGCACGUAAUCCCGCAUUUUAAUAUUCUCACAUCGAGGCGAGUGAAGCGGUCUGGUCAAUUCAUAAGGCUUUGAUCAUUAUAGCUGGCAAGAAAUUAUUUUAAUAAGUCUUACGCGCUUAUGAUGAUUUUGGAGCCGUAGGAGCUUUAACACAUACUAACUAUAAAUAGGACCAAGAACCUGCUUUAGGAUUCAAAUUACCCAACUUUUGAGAGGGAUCCGACUAGUCUAGACAACAUCACUUAACGAGUCAUGGCCGGUUCUUCUACUCCUUCCUCGCUGACGGCGGUGACCCUUCUCGCCGCAUUGUUGUUGUUCCUCAAUCCAUCGAACGCUCAGCUGACUGCCAAUUUUUAUGCGAAGACAUGCCCGAGCGUGUCCAGUAUUGUCCAAACCGUGAUCCAGGAGGCCCUUCAAUCUGACCCACGCAUCACUGCCAGCCUCCUCCGUCUCCAUUUCCACGAUUGUUUCGUCGACGUGAGUCCCUAAGCUAGAUCAAUUCCCAUUAACAAUGGUGCUCUCAAUCUGAUUACCAAGUAGCUAGUCACGCAACCUAAUGUUUAAGCCUGACAUGUGUGUUAAAAGGGGUGUGAUGGAUCGCUGCUGCUGGACAAUAGCCCAACCAUAAAGAGCGAGAAAGAUGCAGCUCCGAAUUUUAAGUCCGCAAGAGGGUUUGAUGUCGUGGACAAGAUCAAAGCGGCUAUUGAGAGUGCUUGUCCAGGGACCGUGUCUUGCGCCGACAUUCUUGCCCUUGCUGCUCAAGCUUCCGUCUCUUUGGUAUAUGUAGUUAUAGUCAAAGAAACAUAAACAUAAAUCUAAAGUAUAUUCAGGGUUCAUUAUUAUAACUCACCCUACUCAAAUCAUUAUUGUAUUUCUCUUGAUUAUCGCUCUUACCAAAUUGCAGUCAGAAGGUCCAUAUUGGACAGUGCUCUUGGGGAGGAGGGACAGCUUGACCGCGAACCAAGCCGGAGCGAACACAUCGAUACCCUCCCCUUCUGAUAGCUAUAACAACCUCGUUUCCAAAUUCUCUGCUGUUGGCUUGGACAUCACCGACCUUGCUACACUUUCCGGUAAAAAAGAACAGUUGGACUUGCAUUUUAAUACGAAACGUGCAACCGUAGAUAUUGAUGCACAAAAAAGAUUUAUAGAGUGAGAUGCUGGAUUUUUGUCACAUAAUUUAUCGGCACAAACAUCUCUUCACUUUUGUUUAACACAUUCUAACUUCCUAAUAUGAUCAUAGUCUAAGAUUAAUUGUAAUCUAUUGACAUGCCUGUCUGGUAUAUGGCCUAUGCAUGCCUCGUGCAUAGGCCAUGCACAUCUCCCAGAAGGAAUUUUGGCUAAGGAUUAUUAAUCUAUAAUUGAAUAAGUAAUUUUCCCUUGACUUGAGAUCGAUCCACAUGCAUGUGUUAUGCCUAGGCCAUGCUUGUAUCGUGCAUGGGCUGUGCACAUCUACUAGAACGAAUUUUGGCUAAGGAUUAAGGAUUUCUUUUUCAUCACAGGAGUAUGAAUAUCGGGAAAGAUGGUAUCAAAAUUUGCAAGCCCCUCAUGUACUUAUCUAAGAAAUGAUAAGUUUACAGAAUCAAUAUAUUAAGUGAUGUCGCGGAUCAUUAUUACUUAUUCAUCUAUCCACUAAUGAGUUUGCUGCAUAUGUUUGGCAUACAAAUUCCGUUGAGCAUUCCUAGCAUUGAUCUAUUCAUCCAUCUCCAUAAUUAAGCAUCUGCAGAUAUUUUGUUCUCUUAGCUAACUUUUCGUGCAUACGACAAUAAAACAGGAGCUCACACCUUCGGACGUGCACAGUGCAAGUCAUUCAACCCUAGGCUCUACAACUUCACCGCGAACGGUGGCCCUGAUCCCACCAUAAACCCGUGGUACUUGACCAAUCUCCGGAAACUUUGCCCUCAGAAUGGCGACAGUAGUGUCCUCGCCGACCUCGACCCGACAACCCCAAACUUGUUUGACAACCACUACUACUCCAACCUCCAGAAAAAUGAAGGGCUUCUUCUGUCCGAUCAAGAGCUGUACUCCACAACUGGCGCCGCAACAAUUUCCAUCGUCAACAGCUUUAGCUUUGACCAGA
rnacentral:lncRNA from 1 species